GAUGAACGCUGGCGGCGUGCCUAAUACAUGCAAGUCGAGCGAACAGACGAGGAGCUUGCUCCUCUGACGUUAGCGGCGGACGGGUGAGUAACACGUGGAUAACCUACCUAUAAGACUGGGAUAACUUCGGGAAACCGGAGCUAAUACCGGAUAAUAUAUUGAACAGCAUGGUUCAAUAGUGAAAGACGGUUUUGCUGUCACUUAUAGAUGGAUCCGCGCCGCAUUAGCUAGUUGGUAAGGUAACGGCUUACCAAGGCAACGAUGCGUAGCCGACCUGAGAGGGUGAUCGGCCACACUGGAACUGCGACACGGUCCAGACUCCUACGGGAGGCAGCAGUAGGGAAUCUUCCGCAAUGGUCGAAAGCCUGACGGAGCAACGCCGCGUGAGUGAUGAAGGUCUUCGGAUCGUAAAACUCUGUUAUUAGGGAAGAACAAAUGUGUAAGUAACUAUGCACGUCUUGACGGUACCUAAUCAGAAAGCCACGGCUAACUACGUG
rnacentral:rRNA from 1 species